UCACCAAGAGGGCCAGAAAGAUGGCUCAGCAGGUAAAGGCAUUUGUCACCAAGGCUGAAGACAAGAGUUUGAUCCCUGGGACCCACAUGUUAGAUUGAAUCCCAAAGUUGUCCUCUGACCUUCACUUGUGAGCCUUGGAAAUGCCUCACACUGAUGAGUUUAUGGAUGACUCAACAGUAUGUGGUAUUCGCUACAACAAAACCCUAGCUCCCAGUCCUAAAAGUAUAGGAGACUUUACAUCUGCUGCCCAGCUUUCAUCUACACCAUUCCACAAAUUUCCAGCAGAUCCAUUGCAGAUUCCAGAAGAUAAAGAAAAUGUGGUAGCCACACAAUAUACACAUAUGGCUUUGGAUUCUUGUAAAGAAAACAUGGUGGACCCCUCAAAAGACAGAAAGCUUGGUCUAAUUCAAGAGAAAAUUUCAGCAUCUUUAUCCUGUCCUAGUCAGCCUGCCACAGGUGGUUUGCUCACCCAGGAAGCAGUGUUCAGCCUUGAGACUUAUAAAUGCACAGGCACUGACCGUGCGAUCAUGGAAGACCUAUCAGAUGCCAGCGCUGGGCUCCAAGUUGAAUGGGUGCAGACUAGUUCAUUUGGAAAUGUUAAUGCUCCAAACUUUACUAUUGAGAACCCAUGGGAUGAUGAAUUGAUUCUUAAACUUCU
rnacentral:lncRNA from 1 species